CUCUUAUAUGUUAUGAAACCGCAGACAGUAGGUAACCAUAAAUCCUACCGAGGUGAGAAUAAAGAUAUCUUUAUGAUUUGAUUUUUUAUCUCAUUGUGUCUGCGAUGAGAUUUUUUUAUUUUAUA
rfam:Clostridiales bacterium S5-A11 contig012, whole genome shotgun sequence.